rnacentral:rRNA from 2 species
GAAUCUGGCUUCAGGUUCGGGACAACAGUUGGAAACGGCUGCUAAUACCGGAUGUGCCUUAUGGUGAAAGAUUUAUCACCUGAAGAUGAGCUCGCGUCUGAUUAGCUAGUAGGUGUGGUAAGAGCGCACCUAGGCGACGAUCAGUAGCUGGUCUGAGAGGAUGAUCAGCCACACUGGGACUGAGACACGGCCCAGACUCCUACGGGAGGCAGCAGUGGGGAAUUUUCCGCAAUGGGCGAAAGCCUGACGGAGCAAUACCGCGUGAGGGAGGAAGGCUCUUGGGUUGUAAACCUCUUUUCUCAGGGAAGAAUGAUGACGGUACCUGAGGAAUAAGCAUCGGCUAACUCCGUGCCAGCAGCCGCGGUAAUACGGAGGAUGCAAGCGUUAUCCGGAAUGAUUGGGCGUAAAGCGUCCGCAGGUGGCAAUGUAAGUCUGCUGUCAAAGCGUCUGGCUCAACCAGAUAAAGGCAGUGGAAACUACAUAGCUAGAGUAAGGUAGGGGUAGAGGGAAUUCCUGGUGUAGCGGUGAAAUGCGUAGAGAUCAGGAAGAACACCGGUGGCGAAAGCGCUCUGCUGGACCUUAACUGACACUGAGGGACGAAAGCUAGGGGAGCG